GGACAGAACUACACACACGCGCGUUCAUCCCAAACCAGUCGGCCACCAUGGCUUUCUCCUCCAGAGCCUUGGCCGUGUUCCUGUGCGUGGUCCUCGCAUCGCUCGCGUUCCUCGCGCAGGACGCGCUCGCUGCCAGAGCCCUCGCUGAAGCCAGCGGCCGUAGUGAUUUGAACGACUACGGGGGUGGUUGGCCGAACCCUCCAGGAGGAGGUUAUGGCCAACCUGGUUCUGGUGGCUAUAUUGGUUAUCCUCCCGGGCAUCGUUAGGCGCUGGACGACGAUCACGGAUGCUUGAAGUAUAGUAUAUGGAAAUACUGCAAGCAUAAAUAAAUAAAUAGUUAUUUGGCAUCCAUACUAUAUAUAGCUUUCUGCAAAUUUCCUGUUUCCGAAUAAAGGCCAUGCAGCUAAGUGUGUGUACACUUGUUGUGUGCGUGGUCAGAGACUCGUGUCGGGAGUCCCGGCCUUGUGGGUCCCGUCAACGAAGUUGUUUAUCUCGAGUCUUGUUGAGUCGCUGCUUGAGCUGUAGCUCAGCCACUUCAUUGUUCUAUACUGUA